rnacentral:misc_RNA from 1 species
UAUAGGCAAUGCUGGGUCUCCA